rnacentral:rRNA from 1 species
AUUGAACGCUGGCGGCAGGCCUAACACAUGCAAGUCGAAUGGUAACAGGAAACAGCUUGCUGUUUCUCUGACGAGUGGCGGACGGGUGAGUAAUGUCUGGGUAACUGCCUGAUGGAGGGGGAUAACUACUGGAAACGGUAGCUAAUACCGCAUAACUUCGCAAGACCAGAGAGGGGGACCUUCGGGCCUCUUUCCAUCAGAUGUGCCCAGAUGGGAUUAGCUAGUAGGUGGGGUAACGGCUCACCUAGGCGACGAUCCCUAGCUGGUCUGAGAGGAUGACCAGCCACACUGGAACUGAGACACGGUCCAGACUCCUACGGGAGGCAGCAGUGGGGAAUAUUGCAGAAUGGGCGCAAGCCUGAUGCAGCCAUGCCGCGUGUAGGAAGAAGGCCUUCGGGUUGUAAAGUACUUUCAGCGGGGAGGAAGGGAGUAAAGUUAGUACCUUUGCUGAUUGACGUUACCCGCAGAAGAAGCACCGGCUAACUACGUG